rnacentral:rRNA from 1 species
AGUGAACGCUGGCGGUAGGCCUAACACAUGCAAGUCGAACGGCAGCACAGUAAGAGCUUGCUCUUACGGGUGGCGAGUGGCGGACGGUUGAGGAAUACAUCGGAAUCUACUUUUUCGUGGGGGAUAACGUAGGGAAACUUACGCUAAUACCGCAUACGACCUACGGGUGAAAGCAGGGGAUCUUCGGACCUUGCGCGAGUGAAUGAGCCGAUGUCGGAUUAGCUAGUUGGCGGGGUAAAGGCCCACCAAGGCGACGAUCCGUAGCUGGUCUGAGAGGAUGAUCAGCCACACUGGAACUGAGACACGGUCCAGACUCCUACGGGAGGCAGCAGUGGGGAAUAUUGGACAAUGGGCGCAAGCCUGAUCCAGCCAUACCGCGUGGGUGAAGAAGGACUUCGGGUUGUAAAGCCCUUUUGUUGGGAAAGAAGAGCAGCAGGUUAAUACCCCGCUGUUCUGACGGUACCCAAAGAAUAAGCACCGGCUAACUUCGUG